AUUGAACGCUGGCGGCAGGCCUAACACAUGCAAGUCGAGCGGGGUUUUCGGACCUAGCGGCGGACGGGUGAGUAAUGCGUAGGAAGCUACCCGAUAGAGGGGGAUACCAGUUGGAAACGACUGUUAAUACCGCAUAAUGUCUACGGACCAAAGUGUGGGACCUUCGGGCCACAUGCUAUCGGAUGCGCCUACGUGGGAUUAGCUAGUUGGUGAGGUAAUGGCUCACCAAGGCGACGAUCCCUAGCUGGUUUGAGAGGAUGAUCAGCCACACUGGAACUGGGACACGGUCCAGACUCCUACGGGAGGCAGCAGUGGGGAAUAUUGGACAAUGGGCGCAAGCCUGAUUCAGCCAUGCCGCGUGUGUGAAGAAGGCCUUCGGGUUGUAAAGCACUUUCAGUAGGGAGGAAGCGUUGUGUGUUAAUAGUACACAGCGUUGACGUUACCUACAGAAGAAGCACCGGCUAACUCUGUGCCAGCAGCCGCGGUAACAC
rnacentral:rRNA from 1 species